AUGGUCGUCCCCGCGGCGGCAUCUCCCAAUCUUUACUUGCUCGACCUGGUGAAAUCCGGCCGCAUGCUCAUCGACCGUGGCCUCGUUCUCGCGGACGGCGAGGUGGACAACAUCUAUCUCCCAGUCGACACGUUCAAGCUCUUGCGCAUCGAUGACACUGUCGUGUACAAGAAUGUCGGUGACAUCAAGGUGGUCGACAGGAGCCACCUGUACCCCGGACAGGUGGUCGGGUCGGCAUCCGACAUGGGCGGCCAGAUCGGCGUCGUCACCGGCGUCAACACCGUGCUCAACCUGGCCAAGCUAGACAACAACGGCGUGCCGACCAAGGUCAUCAGGGGGGUGUCCCCGUCUAGCCUGCGGCGCGUCAGGAGUCUCAACCUUGGCGACUUUGUCGUGUCUGGGCCGUGGCUCGGCCGUGUCGUCGAGGUGUCGAUCGAUGUCGAUGUGUUGUUCGAUGACGGAGCCAUCUGCAGGAUCACCGAUGCGGAGUCCACGAACCUGGCCAGAGUGCGUGAAAUCGGCACCAUGGCGACCUUGCAUCGCCACCAGAUGAAUAGUCAAUUCCACCAGGGGCAGCAUGUCACCUUGACACGCGCUUGUUCACUCUUCAAGGAUGCUCGCUGGCUUAAUGGCUACUGGCAUCCCUACCGACAAGUAGGCACCAUUAUGAAGGUGGAGACGUCCGGCGUCCUUGUCUACUGGGUUGCAUCCAGACAUUGUGGCACCGACAAGGGGCUAGUGGAGGCAUCCGCUCCUCCAGCCUACCAAAACCCAGAUGAUCUUACGUUCUUCUGCGCCUCGUACAAUUGCUGCUGGGGGCUUGCUGACCGUUGUUUUUUUCUAGAAACAAGUUCCACCAAAGAGGAUGCAGCUUGUGCUCCUGAUCAACACGGUGAUGAUGAUGAUGAUGAGGUGGUGGAGGAGGACGAGGACGAGGAAGAGGAAGAGGAAUACAAUGCGUGCUCACAAGACAACCAAGAGGUGUGUGAAGCAUCAACCUCUCAUGUGGGACCACCCACCAAGCAGAAGGAUGAGAGGUUUUAUCGGAAGCAGCUAAGGAAGGUCGUCUUUGAGGGCCAUAGACGGGCGCAACGACCACAAGUCAUGAGACAUGUGGAGGUGGAGUUUCCUAUGGUCGUCGCCGACACCUGCACCACCGUCGAUGUGUUGUGGCAGGACGGCACACGGCAACAUGGCAGACGUUCAGCGACUGUCGUCCCCUUUGGGAUCUGGAAUGAGCAAGAGUUCUUCCCGGGACAACAUGUUGUCGCCAACAUUCUCCCUAUUAGUGCUGCCGUUGAUAGUACUGGUGACCAUGAUGAUGUUAUAACUACUAGUGUCAACAAUGACAUUGUUGCGUCUGGAACUGGACCAACAGAGCGUGUGGGCAUCGUCAAGAGCCUGCAAUACAAGGACCAGACGGUUUGUGUAUCAUGGUUCAAGACGUCAGGGCACCCAGAUGAGGCUAGGGAGGUCGAAUGCGACCAAACCAUCAGUGCUUACGACUUAAAAUUGGACUCUAACCACUCUGCUUACUAUGGUGAUAUUGUCAUUCGUAUCCUACCAUCGGGAUCAACAAAUGAUGCUGAAAGUGCACCCUUGUUAUCGGGAAACAAGAAGAAAAAUGCCGUUCCUGUCGAUCUUUCAUGGGUUGGGCGGGUAGUUGAACUUCCUAAUGGGCACAUCCAAGUCAAGUGGGGUGAUGGUAGCAUGUCAACGGUAUCGCCCCAUGAGAUCGUUGCCGUCAAGGACAAGCACUACAUGGAGCUAUGGCUUGAAAUGGGCGAUUGGGUAGAGGACGAUGGCAUCGAUGACGCACCCGAAGAACCGGUUGCUGCCAACAUGGAAAUUGAUCUUCAGAAUCUAGAUAAUGAUGUCGAAAGCGUUAGCCCGGCAAUGUCAAGGACAAGCCUUUUAGGUUUUCCAUUCCGGUCUUUGCUCCAAUUCACCAGUGACGUGGUAGCUCGAGGUAAAGGAUACCUGAUGAACUGGCGGCCCUCGUCGUUGUCACCAAGCUCAGAGUUACCCGCGCCCGCAAAUGAUGAUAGUAUCGGUGGUGCUGCUGCAAUGGGGAUCAACGAUGCUGCUGUAGAUUUGACUUGUCACGGUUUUGCUGGGGGGACGAAGGCUGCAUAUGCUACCUGUUGCUGCGAUGAAUCGUCAUGCUUUCCACAUUUCAAUGUACUGCAGAUGAGCCCUCUGGAUCACCACUACCUUGACACUACGGACCAGGAAAUGCAGGGCGCUAGUCGUGGGAAGAGUUGGGCCAAAACAGUGCAAAAGGAAUGGAAAAUUCUGGAGAACGACUUACCAGAAACCAUCUACGUGCGAGCGUUUGAGGACCGCAUGGAUCUGCUUCGGGUGGUGAUGGUGGGCGCAAGCGGGACGCCAUAUCAUCACGGCCUCUUCUUCUUUGAUAUGCAGCUACCUCCGUCGUACCCGGAUGCCCCACCGCAAGUGUACUACCACUCCUUUGGCCUACGCCUCAAUCCCAACCUCUACGAGUCUGGUACAGUGUGUCUCAGCCUGCUGAACACAUUCGGUGGCGAGGGCACUGAGGUUUGGUCGUCAGCAACAUCAAGCCUCCUCCAAGUCGUUGUCUCCAUCCAGGGCCUCGUCCUCAAUGACCAACCAUACUACAACGAGGCCGGCUAUGAGACACUGGUCGGCAAACCGGAGGGCCGCCGCAAUGCGCUGCCCUACAAUGAGAAUGCUUACCUACUAACCCUCCGGACCAUGCAGCACCUUUUACGUCGGCCACCUCGGGGAUUUGAGGAAUUCGUCAAGGAACACUUCCGCCGUCGGGGAAAAUUUGUGCUUAGGACAUGCAAUGUAUGGCUUCAGGGAAAUGUUGUCGACGAUGCCCAUGCCAUUGAAGCGACUAGGAAGCGACCGUGCUCGGCUGGGUUAAGGCUUGCACUCACAAACAUGAUGCCAAGCCUCGUGGCAGCCUUCACCGAGAUCGGCGCCGUGGGGUGUGAAGAGUUCCAGUAG
rnacentral:rRNA from 1 species